rnacentral:rRNA from 1 species
GACAGAGGGUGCAAACGUUGUUCGGAAUUACUGGGCGUAAAGCGCGUGUAGGCGGCUGCGUGUGUCGGGCGUGAAAUCCCAUGGCUCAACCAUGGAAGUGCACCCGAAACUGCGUAGCUAGAGUCCUGGAGAGGAAGGUGGAAUGCUUGGUGUAGAGGUGAAAUUCGUAGAUAUCAAGCGGAACACCGGUGGCGAAGGCGGCCUUCUGGACAGUGGCUGACGCUGAGACGCGAAAGCGUGGGGAGCAAACAGG